rnacentral:rRNA from 1 species
UACAGAGGUCCCAAGCGUUGUUCGGCGUUCCUGUUCUUCCCUUUUUCUUAGGUGGUUGGGUAAGUCUGAUGUGAAAUCUCCGGGCUCAACCCGGAAAUGGCAUUGGAUACUAUUCGACUAGAGGGUUGGAGGGGGGACUGGAAUACUUGGUGUAGCAGUGAAAUGCGUAGAUAUCAAGUGGAACACCAGUGGCGAAGGCGAGUCCCUGGACAACUCCUGACACUGAGGCACGAAAGCUAGGGGAGCAAACAGG